GACAGAGGGUGCGAACGUUGUUCGGAAUUAUUGGGCGUAAAGAGCUCGUAGGCGGUCUGUCGCGUCGGCUGUGAAAUCUCGGGGCUCAACCCCGAGCCUGCAGUCGAUACGGGCAGACUAGAGUGCUGUAGGGGAGACUGGAAUUCCUGGUGUAGCGGUGAAAUGCGCAGAUAUCAGGAGGAACACCGGUGGCGAAGGCGGGUCUCUGGGCAGUAACUGACGCUGAGGAGCGAAAGCGUGGGGAGCAAACAGG
rnacentral:rRNA from 1 species